GACGAACGCUGGCGGCGUGCUUAACACAUGCAAGUCGAACGGAAAGGCCCUGCUUUUGUGGGGUGCUCGAGUGGCGAACGGGUGAGUAACACGUGUGUAACCUGCCCUUGACUUUGGGAUAACUUCAGGAAACUGGGGCUCAUACCGGAUAGGAGCUCCUGCUGCAUGGUGGGGGGUGGAAAGUGUCGGCGGUUGGGGAUGGACUCGCGGCUUAUCAGCUUGUUGGUGGGGUAGUGGCUUACCAAGGCUUUGACGGGUAGCCGGCCUGAGAGGGGGACCGGCCUCAUGGGGACUGCGAUACGGCGCAGUCUCCUACGGGACGCAGCAGUGGGGAAUAUGGCACAAUGGGCGGAAGCCUGUUGCAGCAACGCCGCGUGCGGGAUGACGGCCUACGGGUUGUAAACCGCUUUCGCCUGAGACGAAGCGUGAGUGACGGUAAUGGGUAAAGAAGCACCGGCUAACUACGUG
rnacentral:rRNA from 1 species